GACGAACGCUGGCGGCGUGCCUAACACAUGCAAGUCGAGCGAGUGGAGUUCUUCGGAACAAAGCUAGCGGCGGACGGGUGAGUAACACGUGGGCAACCUGCCUCAUAGAGGGGAAUAGCCUCCCGAAAGGGAGAUUAAUACCGCAUAAGAUUGUAGCUUCGCAUGAAGUAGCAAUUAAAGGAGCAAUCCGCUAUGAGAUGGGCCCGCGGCGCAUUAGCUAGUUGGUGAGGUAACGGCUCACCAAGGCGACGAUGCGUAGCCGACCUGAGAGGGUGAUCGGCCACAUUGGGACUGAGACACGGCCCAGACUCCUACGGGAGGCAGCAGUGGGGAAUAUUGCACAAUGGGGGAAACCCUGAUGCAGCAACGCCGCGUGAGUGAUGACGGCCUUCGGGUUGUAAAGCUCUGUCUUCAGGGACGAUAAUGACGGUACCUGAGGAGGAAGCCACGGCUAAUUCCGUGCCAGCCGCCGCGGUAACAC
rnacentral:rRNA from 1 species